rnacentral:rRNA from 1 species
UAGGGAAUCUUCCGCAAUGGGCGAAAGCCUGACGGAACAACGCCGCGUGAGUGAAGAAGGUCUUCGGAUCGUAAAACUCUGUUAUUAGGGAAGAACAAAUGUGUAAGUAACUAUGCACGUCUUGACGGUACCUAAUCAGAAAGCCACGGCUAACUACGUGCCAGCAGCCGCGGUAAUACGUAGGUGGCAAGCGUUAUCCGGAAUUAUUGGGCGUAAAGCGCGCGUAGGCGGUUUUUUAAGUCUGAUGUGAAAGCCCACGGCUCAACCGUGGAGGGUCAUUGGAAACUGGAAAACUUGAGUGCAGAAGAGGAAAGUGGAAUUCCAUGUGUAGCGGUGAAAUGCGCAGAGAUAUGGAGGAACACCAGUGGCGAAGGCGACUUUCUGGUCUGUAACUGACGCUGAUGUGCGAAAGCGUGGGGAUCAAACA